rnacentral:lncRNA from 1 species
GGGCAAUUUCGGGAAGGCCGGAAUCACUGUGGAAGGUGAUGGCGCGCGGGAAGUCCGGCGCGGACACAGCGCGCGUGAAGGGCGGCGCUUUCCAUCCGGGAAGAUGGACACGACAGGUGGGCCCCACCUCUCAGUGUCUCAGCGCGCGCGUGCGUGCGGGCUGGCGGCUGGGCUGUGGCGCGCAGCGGUAAGUUGGGCCGGUUCGGCCCAAAUCGGCCGGGCCGGUCCGUUUACCCUUUUUUUUCCUUUAACCUUUUCUCUUUUUCUUUUUCUGAUUUUUUUGAUAUCUUUUGAUUUUGAACUCCAAAUUGAUCCAAAUAAAUUCCAGAAUUUUUUUAAAAUCAUGUUUUAUCAUGAUUCAACUUUUGGGAGUAAUUUCCCCUCAAAAUAAAAUAUAUAAAAAUACAUUUGCCCUAUAAAUGCCUUUAGGGCUAUAUAACUAUUUAAAUAAAAUAAUUUUUCAACUCCAAAUAACUAUCCAAAAAUUAUGGGAUUGCCUAUUUAUGCAAUAAACCCCUUUUAUAGAUAAUCCCUAUUGGUUUGAAGAUCCAAAGCUCAAAUGGGUG